rnacentral:ncRNA from 1 species
UUCGGGCCACACGACUGGCGCGGGUGGACUGACCACCGGGGAGUGCAGCCGGAGCAUCGACCGCCUGGGUGCUCCUC